CCCUUAGAUGUUCUGGGCCGCACGCGCGCUACACUGACUGGUGCAACAAGUGUCGCUCCUUGGCUGAUAGGCCUGGGUAAUCUUUGAACGUGAAUCGUGAUGGGGAUAGAUGAUUGCAAUUAUUCAUCUUCAACGAGGAAUUCCUAGUAAACGCAAGUCAUCAGCUUGCAUUGAUUACGUCCCUGCCCUUUGUACACACCGCCCGUCGCACCUACCGAUUGAAUGGUCCGGUGAAAUCUUCGGAUCUGAGAGAUGUCUGAUUAAUUUCGGACGCCUUUUGGAAAAGUUGUUUAAACCUUACCAUUUAGAGGAAGGUGAAGUCGUAACA
rnacentral:rRNA from 1 species